rnacentral:misc_RNA from 1 species
GUAUUGAUUGCGUGUGACCGCAAAAAUAACAUUCUACACUGUAUCAAGUUUUGUGUGAAAACGUGAGCCCUCCUGCAAAGGGGACCCACGCGGUGAUGCACAAGGGGUGAAAUGGAUGUGUGAGAGUGCUCAGGCGUGCACGACCAAAAGGUCAGCGACAACCUGAGCACCUCUGUGGUACGAUAAUGAUCCUUCCGCAGGUUCACCUACGGAAA